GGCUAGACUUAAGAAAUUAGAACUUUAAUUGUGGUAGACUGAAAUUUGGUUUUUUUUUAUUUGUUGCUUUUGUUGUAAAAUGUUAGAAAGUUUGUUUUAUUUGAAAUUUUUGUCUUAAAGAAUUUUUAUGAACUGGAUUAGUACCCAGGUAAUUUUUGGUUAUUAGAACAGAAGUAUAAUUAUAUUGAAACUGAAACAAUUUUGGGAGACUUUAAAUUUAUCUUUGGAGGUUGACGAGUAAUUGAGAGCCCUCAUUUUUUGCCUUUGUUUUGGUGAUAUGUAUGAUCGUCUUUUUUAUUGUUGAGCAUGUUAAAGUAAAAAGGAGUAUUUAUGAAGAUAGAUAUAUACCUACUAUAUGCAGAGGUUUUUGUUGACCUACAAUAUUAUGUUGUUUGGAUCUUUAUGGGAGACUGUAGGGUGAAAUUGGAAAAGACAGUAAAUUAAUUUUUAUGUUUAGUUGAAGAUUUAUGUUAGAGUGGUACAAA
rnacentral:rRNA from 1 species